AUCUCUAAUUUGGAGAUAAAGAAGUGGAAACUUAGUGCUGGCUUCUAUCAUUGUGGUAAGAGUGAAAAUAGUGGAUACAAAUCAGAUACCUGAGGAUCUUUAGAGAAGUAAUUGUUGAGAUGUGUUGACAGAUGGGAUAGUUUGACAGAGUUACAAGCUAUCAGAGAGAUCUUUCUUAGAACUUGAGAGAGAUUUAUUGCAUUCAUGUCCUCCAACAGGAAUAUAUGAAAACUGCUUAACUGUCAUUGAAUAGAUAAUGAUUCUAAUAGAGACUGGUACCUGUUUAUCUAUUACACCUUUACAACUUUAAAAGGAAAAUAACUAUACUUCUGUACUUGCAUGUGUUAAAUCCCUAUCUGCUCUUGAGCUAAGAU
rnacentral:lncRNA from 1 species